GCUGGGCACGGUGGUGUGUGCCUGUAAUCCCAGCUACUCAGGAGGCUGAGGCGGGAGAAUUGCUUGAACCCAGGAGGUGGAGGUUGCAGUGAGCAGAGAUCAUGCCAUUGCACUCCAGCCUGGGUAACAAGAGCAAAACUCCGUCUCAA
ensembl:misc_RNA Metazoa_SRP Metazoan signal recognition particle RNA